rnacentral:lncRNA from 1 species
GAAACAUGAUAACCAUCUUCACCUGUGGAGAUACUGUAGUGUGAAGUGUCCUAUUUGAAGGAACGGUUGGCCCUCUAGAGCUCCUUCCAUCUUUAAAUUCAAUGAAAUUUUAGCAUUUGUUCUAAUUUUUAAAGUAUCUUAUCUCUUUCCCAACUUUUCCACCCUUACCCUUACAUUAACCCAAUUAUUUGUGAAUUUUCUUACUUUUUAGUAUCUGACCAAGAGGAUACCACAAAACCCAAGGUAUCAGCAUGUCAAGUCAAGACUAGACACUGUGAGCAGUUCAGAGUUAAUCACAAGAAAUCAAGAAUUUCGUGGCAUCUCCUGUCUUCACCCAAAUCACCUUCUACUGAGCUCUUCAAAGACUGAUAUCUUCUUCCUGGGUGCCUGAGUGUAUCUUACCAGCUCCCCAGC